UACGUAGGGAGCAAGCGUUGUUCGGAUUUACUGGGCGUAAAGGGCGCGUAGGCGGCGCGGUAAGUCACCUGUGAAAUCUCUGAGCUUAACUCAGAACGGCCAAGUGAUACUGCAGUGCUAGAGUGCAGAAGGGGCAAUCGGAAUUCUUGGUGUAGCGGUGAAAUGCGUAGAUAUCAAGAGGAACACCUGAGGUGAAGACGGGUUGCUGGGCUGACACUGACGCUGAAGCGCGAAAGCCAGGGGAGCAAACGGG
rnacentral:rRNA from 1 species